rnacentral:rRNA from 1 species
ACAUGCCUACAACAUAACAUUAAUGCACCAGAUCCCAUUAGAACUCUACAGUUAAGUGUGCUCAGGCUAGAGUAGUAUUGGGAUGGGUGACUGCCCAUGAAGUCUUAGUAUUUUACAUGCC